ACAAACGCUGGCGGCAUGCCUCACACAUGCCAGUCGAACGGACAGAACAGGGACGCUUUUCGGAGUGGAACUGGAAAGUUAGUGGCGGAUGGGUGAGUAACGCGUGGACAACCUACCUUGUAAAGGGGAAUAACCUCGAGAAAUCGAAGCUAAUACCCCAUAAUAACCUUGCUUCGCAUGAAGUAAGGAGGAAAGGCGGCCUUAGCGCUGUCGAUACAAGAUGGGUCCGCGUCUGAUUAGCUAGUUGGUGAGGUAAAGGCUCACCAAGGCGACGAUCAGUAGCCGGCCUGAGAGGGUGAACGGCCACAUUGGGACUGAGACACGGCCCAAACUCCUACGGGAGGCAGCAGUGGGGAAUCUUCCGCAAUGGGCGAAAGCCUGACGGAGCAAUGCCGCGUGAGUGAAGAAGGCCUUCGGGUUGUAAAACUCUGUCCUUAUCGAAGAGAGAGUGUUGUAGUAACUGACAAUACUAGGACGGUAGAUGAGGAGGAAGCCCCGGCUAACUAUGUG
rnacentral:rRNA from 1 species